GCACUCGCGGGCUGUGUAGCUAGCACAUACACACACAUACUUUCUCUCUCUACGCGAGUAUAGUAACUCGAAACGCACGCGAGGCACAUACACACAGAGACUAUCUCCCGAAAUCGGUGAAUGUACAUUGUAGAGUGUGACUCGGUGAAGGAAAAGUCGUCCGGCUCGUCCAGCAAUCUCCAACUUUGAAGGCAGCGGAGUAUAUACGUCUACCAUAUUCAGCGAAGAGCAACCGCCAUGGCGACCUUCGUCACGUUUCUGCCACUAGUGCUCGGCCUUUUAGUUGUCUGCACAGCCGUAGAACAGAAGCUAGUCUACAAACGAAGUGUGAAUCCGGCCGCACUGUCGCUCAUGAAGAGACCGUUCUGCAACGCGUUCCCGGCUGCGAGUCGCUAACAACAGCGAG